rnacentral:rRNA from 1 species
UAAACAUAGAUAGUAAAAACACAAAACUAUCCGCCAGAGAACUACAAGCGAAAAGCUCGAAACUCCAAGGACUUGGCGGUGCUUCAUAUCAACCUAGAGGAGCCUGUCCUAUAAUCGAUACCCCACGCUAAACCUUACCACUCCUAGCCAACCAGCCUAUAUACCGCCGUCGUCAGCCUACCUCAUGAGAGAAACAAAGUGAGCAAAAAAGUUAACAACUAAUACGUCAGGUCAAGGUGUAGCACACGGAGAGGCAGAGAUGGGCUACAUUUUUUCUAAAGGGAAAAUACGAACAGCAAGCUGAAACGCUUGCCGAAGGUGGAUUUAGUAGUAAAAUAGGCAAUACUACCUAUUUUAAACCUGCUCUGAAGCGCGCACACACCGCCCGU